UACCAGCACCCCGAGUGGUCGGGACGAUUAUUGGGCCUAAAGCAUCCGUAGCUUGUUCUGCAAGUCCUCCGUUAAAUCCACCUGCUCAACAGAUGGGCUGCGGGGGAUACUACAGGGCUAGGAGGCGGGAGAGGCAAGCGGUACUUAGUGGGUAGGGGUAAAAUCCGUUGAUCCAUUGAAGACCACCAGUGGCGAAGGCGGCUUGCCAGAACGCACUCGACGGUGAGGGAUGAAAGCUGGGGGAGCAAACCGG
rnacentral:rRNA from 1 species